UAGAGGUCACAAUUUUCAUCCAAUCUUUAUGAAAUUUGGUCAGAAUGUUUAUCUUGAUAAAAUCUGGGUUGGGAUUGUAUUUGGGUCAUCUGGGGUCAAAAACUAGGUCACUAGGUCAAAUAAUAGAAAAACCUUGUAUAGACAAUAGAGGUCACAGUUUUCAUCCAAUCUUUAUGAAAUUUGGUCAGAAUGUUUAUCUUGAUGAAAUCUGGGUUGGGAUUGUAUUUGGGUCAUCUGGGGUCAAAAACUAGGUCACAAGGUCAAAUAAUAGAAAAACCUUGUGUAGACAAUAGAGGUCAC